AGUGUGAAGACAUAGAAAUUUCCCCAAUAGGUAGGACAUACGCAAACUGCGAUGAAUUUAAGAAAGUGGAGUGUUUGGUUAAGAGUGUGAAAACAUAGAAAUUUCCCUAAUAGGUAGGUCAUACACAAACCCCGAUUACAACCCAAAUUUAAAACAUACAAGAGCGUAAAAACACACGAAAACUGCGAUGAAUUUGAAGAAAGUGGAGUGUUUGGUUAAGAGUGUGAAGACAUAGAAAUUUCCCUAAUAGGUAGGACAUACACAAACUGCGAUUACAACCCAAAUUUAAAACAUACAAGAGCGUAAAAACACACUAAAGCUGCGAUGCAUUUGAAGAAAGUGGAGUGUUCGAUUAAGAGUGUGAAAACAUAGAAAUUUCCCAAAUAGGUAGGACAUAAACAAACCCCGAUUACAACCCAAAUUUAAAACAUACAAGAGCGUAAAAACAUACACGAAAACUGCGAUGAAUUUGAGAGAAUGGAGUGUUUGGUUAAGAGUGUGAAAACAUAGAUAUUUCUCUAUUACGUAGGUCAUACACAAACCCCGAUUACAACCCAAAUUUAAAACGUACAAGAGCGUUAAAACGAACACGAAAACUGCGAUGAAUUUGAGAGAAUGGAGUGUGAAAACAUAGGUAUUUCUCCAUUAGGUAGGACAUAAACAAAUCCCGAUUACAACCCAAAUUUAAAACAUACAAGAGCGUUAAAACGUACACGAAAACUGCGAUGAAUUUGAAGAAAGUGGAGUGUUUGGUUAAGAGUGUGAAGACAUAGAAAUUUCCCUAAUAGGUAGGACAUACACAAACUGCGAUGAAUUUAAGAAAGUGGAGUGUUUGGUUAAGAGUGUGAAAACAUAGAAAUUUCCUUUUUAGGUAGGACAUAAACAAACCCCAAAUUUAAAACAUACAAGAGCGUAAAAACACACGAAAACUGCGAUGAAUUUAAGAAAGUGGAGUGUUUGGUUAAGAGUGUGAAAACAUAGAAAUUUCUCCAUUAGGUAGGACAUAAACAAACCCCGAUUACAACCCAAAUUUAAAACAUACAAGAGCGUAAAAAGACACGAAACCUGCGAUGAAUUUGAAGAAAGUGGAGUGUUUGGUUAAGAGUGUGAAGACAUAGAAAUUUCCUUUUUAGGUAGGACAUACACAAACUGCGAUGAAUUUGAGAGAAUGGAGUAUUCGGUUAAGAGUGUGAAAACAAAGAUAUUUCUCCAUUAGGUAGGACAUAAACAAACCCCGAUUACAACCCAAAUUUAAAACAUACAAGAGCGUUAAAACGUAAACGAAAACUGCGAUGAAUUUGAGAGAAUAGAGUGUUUGGUUAAGAGUGUGAAGACAUAGAAAUUUCCCUAAUAGGUAGGACAUACACAAACUGCGAUGAAUUUAAGAAAGUGGAGUGUUUGGUUAAGAGUGUGAAAACAUAGAAAUUUCCCUAAUAGGUAGGUCAUACACAAACCCCGAUUACAACCCAAAUUUAAAACAUACAAGAGCGUAAAAACACACGAAAACUGCGAUGAAUUUGAAGAAAGUGGAGUGUUUGGUUAAGAGUGUGAAGACAUAGAAAUUUCCCUAAUAGGUAGGACAUACACAAACUGCGAUUACAACCCAAAUUUAAAACAUACAAGAGCGUAAAAACACACUAAAGCUGCGAUGCAUUUGAAGAAAGUGGAGUGUUCGAUUAAGAGUGUGAAAACAUAGAAAUUUCCCAAAUAGGUAGGACAUAAACAAACCCCGAUUACAACCCAAAUUUAAAACAUACAAGAGCGUAAAAACAUACACGAAAACUGCGAUGAAUUUGAGAGAAUGGAGUGUUUGGUUAAGAGUGUGAAAACAUAGAUAUUUCUCCAUUAGGUAGGACAUACACAAACUGCGAUGAAUUUAAGAAAGUGGAGUGUUUGGUUAAGUGUGUGAAGACAUAGAAAUUUCCUUUUUAGGUAGGACAUACACAAAUUGCGAUUACAACCCAAAUUUAAAACAUACAAGAGCGUAAAAAGACACGAAAACUGCGAUGAAUUUAAGAAAGUGGAGUGUUUGGUUAAGAGUGUGAAGACAUAGAAAUUUCCUUUUUAGGUAGGACAUACACAAACUGCGAUGAAUUUGAGAGAAUGGAGUAUUCGGUUAAGAGUGUGAAGACAUAGAUAUUUCUCUAUUAGGUAGGACAUAAACAAACCCCGAUUACAACCCAAAUUUAAACAUACAAGAGCUUAAAAACACACGAAAACUGCGAUGAAUUUAAGAAAGUGGAGUGUUUGGUUAAGAGUGUGAAGACAUAGAAAUUUCCUUUUUAGGUAGGACAUACACAAACUGCGAUGAAUUUGAGAGAAUGGAGUAUUCGGUUAAGAGUGUGAAAACAUAGAUAUUUCUCCAUUAGGUAGGACAUAAACAAAACCCGAUUACAACCCAAACUUAAAUCAUACAAGAGCGUAAAAACACACAAAGCUGCGAUGAAUUUGAAGAAAGUGGAGUGUUCGAUUGAGAGUGUGAAAACAUGGAAAUUUUCCUAAUAGGUAGAACAUACACAAACUGCGAUUACAAAGAAUGAACAUGCAUUAAACUCCGAAAAUGGUUAAAUAUUAAAAUAUACACGACAUUACAGCGCAAUUUUUCUGUAAAAUAAAUUACCCACACAAGAUAGAAUGAUCGACAAUUUAUUCAACUUGGCAAUUUAUUAUGAACUUCCCGUCUUCAAUUUUAAUUUUGCAUUGUCGAUGUUUUACUACUUAGACGCACAAAGUUAAAUCGAAAGUCCUCUUCAAAUAUCAAACAAAAGCGACAAUUGACACAACAUUUAAGACUUCUAAUCAACAAAAUACACAGAUUUUUUUUGUCUACGAUUUAUACGCACGCGAACUUCACCUUUACCUUCAAUGACAAAAAAAUACCCUUUAAUGGUCAAUCGUACAGCAUAAAAUGGAACAUCCCAUCCGAUUAUCUGUUUACAUUUCAACCUGGAAAUUUCCAUCAAAGAAUUAGUACAUUUUCAAACUCGUCUCAAAUUGCACCAUCUGAAACAAUGGAAACUUCUUCAGCCCAAGCAUAAAUUUACCUCAAUGCACUCAAUGCAAUUCAAGCAAAAACUGAAAUAUUAAUGUGCCAACCAAGUAUACAUCCACAAGAUUCGUCUGCUGCUACUAAACUUCUCCAUCUACAAGCAUCUCAAUAUCGUCUACUUUCCCAACUGCUCCAUCCACAAGCAACUCAAUAUCUUCUACUGCAUCUGCUCCUCCAUCUACAAGCAAAUCAACACAGCCGACACUAUAUUUUAAGUUCGAUCUACAACAAAACGAAAAUAUUUUUCCAACGUCCAACAAUUAACUUUCAAGGAUAUGAAACCACAUCUCUUACCACCACAUUAUGCCUCAGACAUCUUAACCCUGGUUUAUCGAAACACAAAUCACAAUUAGAAUACUCAAUAAAUUCGGAGUCCACAUGUAUGGCCCCUUUCUCAUAUACUCCGAAAAUGUUUUCGAUACUAACUAGCCUCCAAGUAACACGAAAUAUUCAGAUGACAAACUUCAUUUCAUACGAAUAUUACAAUAUUAAACAUGCCAGAUAUGUUUUGAAAAUAAUAGUCUGUAUGGUAAAGAUAAAUGUGAAAACAUCGAAAUUUCCCAAUUGGGAACUUCCCUAAUACACAAAAUAUACCACGUUGAAUAUGAGAAGGUUGGCUUACAUAGAAAAUUCCCCAUUGGCAUUAACCUUGUGAAAAACGAGAAAUAUUUUGUUCGAAAAGAAAUGAACUCCCUAAAUCUUACAACAUUUUUGGAUAUACAAAUUAUUUUAAUUUCGUCGACUUUAGUUCCUGAAGAACACGCACGAUCAACUUAUAUCUUGAUUAUUGCGCUUAUUAUACAACAAAUUAAUAAAAAAAAAAAAUAACUUGACAAACCUAAUUUCAAAAAGACAAUAAUUAAGACAUGUUUUUGAAAUGCAACCAACUAAACGAACACUAUAUGAUGACAAAAUUAUGUACAAAUAGGAUUAUAUAUAUCAUAUAUCACUGAAUGUAAAAACUUUGAUCAACAAUAAUGUAUGUUAACAUCAGACACUAUAUAAUACUUAGAAUAUGAUUUAUAUUUGAUAUGAAUGUGCAUGGCUAACACAUUUAUCGAUUCACUAUAGAUCGAUUCACAUUGUUCGUUUGAAUAAAAUGAAUCAAUUCAUGUAUACAUUCAGUUUUCGGCUUUCUGUUUAGCAACAAUUUAUAGAGAACAUAUUUUAUGUUGCAUUUGUGAAGGAACUUUGCCACACAAUUUCCACAAUUUAUAUAUAACCCAUUUGUUGCUCAACUAACAUACUUUCGGUCUAUAUUUAACAUUUCAAUUAAUCACUUAUUGUAUGCUACUGUAUACUAAGUAUAAACUAUAUGGAAAUACAAGUACACCUCGAGUCUGGUUAAUAAUCUUGUUCUUUGCAAAAAUACAUUUUAUGUUUAUUUAAAUUAAUUAUUGUAUAGAUAAUAGUUUGCCAGUUGAGACCUGUUUCUUCGGCUUGCUAACACCAAGUAUUUGCAGCAGUAAAGUUCGUUUAUAUAUUUAAUGUGUUGUCAAUUAUUAUAACCUAUCUGUAUACCCUUACAAAUUUAUAUUUAUUUCCCUGUUGAAAACUAAUUAUAUUCAUCUUUUAUUUAUACCCCAAACUUUGCUAUCCUUAUCCUUUCUUAUGUAUUCUAUGAAGUCUUAAUCCCAUCUUUUUGCAACUGUUAAAUCGUCGAGCCUUCUUCAAUAGAGUAUGGAUAUAUCCUGUAAUCCUUUUGUACAUCUGAUUCCCAUUCCAACAACAUUCUCAGCGAUAAUCUAUCAACGGAUCAAACUGAUAAACCUCACUCCUCACCUGUUAAAUGUUGUCUCUUCUCACCUGCUUGAAAUGCCCCGGGAUGAUAUCAAGAAUCUUAUAUACAUUUUAAUUAAAUGAAUUGAGAGCAAUGAAUGCAAGCGUCAUCAAGAACACUUUCAAAUGCAAUUAAAUGAAUCGGGAAAUAUUUAUGCAAGCAAUCAUAAUCAGAAAUUCACCAAAAUGGGCUUUGCUUCGAAUAUUACAGCUAUAAACAUAAUAAUUUGAUAUAUUGCACAUACAAUGGCAUCGAUAAAAUGUAUAUUAAUUUAUUAAUCAUGAUCUUCGUUUAUUUCAACCAUUAAUAUUUGUUAAAUUCACAUUCUCACAGAAAUAUAGCUUAAACGAUUCGAAUCGUAAGACGAAAAAGAGAAAUCGCAAAUGAAUUUAUAAAUGAAAAUUUUGGGAAAAUGGAAACGAUCUACGUAUAAAUAUUCAAAAUUAUAUCUAUUUUAUGUAACAUAUAUAUAUAUCUGUCAAACUGAAAGGCAGAUAAAAGUCCAUAAUUAAAAUACCAGAAGAGUUAACAUAAUCGAAUGAAAAA